GUUAGGGUUAGGGUUGGAGUUAGGGUUAGUGUUGGAGCUAGGGUUAGGGUUGGGCUUGGAGCUAGGAUUUUUCUGAGUGCAAUGAACCAACUCCCGAGUCUCUAGGACGUUCCUAAAAAAAUUUGAUUUUUUCCCAUAGGAAUGCAUGGGUUAGGGUUAUGGUUAGGGUUAGGGUUGGAGCUAGGGUUAGGGUUAGGGUUAGGGUUGGAGUUAGGGUUAGUGUUGGAGCUAGGGUUAGGGUUGGGCUUGGAGCUAGGAUUUUUCUGAGUGCAAUGAACCAACUCCCGAGUCUCUAGGACAUUCCUAAAAAAAAUUUGAUUUUUUCCCAUAGGAAUGCAUGGGUUAGGGUUAGGGUUAGGGUUGGAGCUAGGGUUAGGGUUAGGGUUAGGGUUGGAGUUAGGGUUAGUGUUGGAGCUAGGGUUAGGGUUGGGCUUGGAGCUAGGAUUUUUCUGAGUGCAAUGAACCAACUCCCGAGUCUCUAGGACGUUCCUAAAAAAAAUUGAUUUUUUUCCCAUAGGAAUGCAUGGGUUAGGGUUAGGGUUAGGGUUGGAGCUAGGGUUAGGGUUAGGGUUAGGGUUGGAGUUAGGGUUAGUGUUGGAGCUAGGGUUAGGGUUGGGCUUGGAGCUAGGAUUUGUCUGAGUGCACUGAACCAACUCCCGAGUCUCUAGGACAUUCCUAAAAAAAUUUGAUUUUUUUCCCAUAGGAAUGCAUGGGUUAGGGUUAUGGUUAGGGUUAGGGUUGGAGCUAGGGUUAGGGUUAGGGUUAGGGUUGGAGUUAGGGUUAGUGUUGGAGCUAGGGUUAGGGUUGGGCUUGGAGCUAGGAUUUUUCUGAGUGCAAUGAACCAACUCCCGAGUCUCUAGGACGUUCCUAAAAAAAUUUGAUUUUUUCCCAUAGGAAUGCAUGGGUUAGGGUUAGGGUUAGGGUUGGAGCUAGGGUUAGGGUUAGGGUUAGGGUUGGAGUUAGGGUUAGUGUUGGAGCUAGGGUUAGGGUUGGGCUUGGAGCUAGGAUUUUUCUGAGUGCAAUGAACCAACUCCCGAGUCUCUAGGACGUUCCUAAAAAAAUUUGAUUUUUUCCCAUAGGAAUGCAUGGGUUAGGGUUAGGGUUAGGGUUGGAGUUAGGGUUAGGGUUAGGGUUAGGGUUGGAGUUAGGGUUAGUGUUGGAGCUAGGGUUAGGGUUGGGCUUGGAGCUAGGACUUUUCUGAGUGCAAUGAACCAACUCCCGAGUCUCUAGGACGUUCCUAAAAAAAUUUGAUUUUUUCCCAUAGGAAUGCAUGGGCUAGGGUUAGGGUUAGGGUUGGAGCUAGGGUUAGGGUUAGGGUUAGGGUUGGAGUUAGGGUUAGUGUUGGAGCUAGGGUUAGGGUUGGGCUUGAAGCUAGGAUUUUUCUGAGUGCAAUGAACCAACUCCCGAGUCUCUAGGACGUUCCUAAAAAAAUUUGAUUUUUUCCCAUAGGAAUGCAUGGGUUAGGGUUAGGGUUAGGGUUGGAGCUAGGGUUAGGGUUAGGGUUAGGGUUGGAGUUAGGGUUAGUGUUGGAGCCAGGGUUAGGGUUGGGCUUGGAGCUAGGACUUUUCUGAGUGCAAUGAACCAACUCCCGAGUCUCUAGGACGUUCCUAAAAAAAUUUGAUUUUUUCCCAUAGGAAUGCAUGGGUUAGGGUUAGGGUUAGGGUUGGAGCUAGGGUUAGGGUUAGGGUUAGGGUUGGAGUUAGGGUUAGUGUUGGAGCUAGGGUUAGGGUUGGGCUUGGAGCUAGGAUUUUUCUGAGUGCAAUGAACCAACUCCCGAGUCUCUAGGACGUUCCUAAAAAAAUUUGAUUUUUUCCCAUAGGAAUGCAUGGGUUAGGGUUAUGGUUAGGGUUAGGGUUGGAGCUAGGGUUAGGGUUAGGGUUAGGGUUGGAGUUAGGGUUAGUGUUGGAGCUAGGGUUAGGGUUGGGCUUGGAGCUAGGAUUUUUCUGAGUGCAAUGAACCAACUCCCGAGUCUCUAGGACGUUCCUCAAAAAAUUUGAUUUUUUCCCAUAGGAAUGCAUGGCUUAGGGUUAGGGUUAGGGUUGGAGCUAGGGUUAGGGUUAGGGUUAGGGUUAGGGUUGGAGUUAGGGUUAGUGUUGGGCUUGGAGCUAGGAUUUUUCUGAGUGCAAUGAACCAACUCCCGAGUCUCUAGGAGAUUCCUAAAAAAAUUUGAUUUUUUCCCAUAGGAAUGCAUGGGUUAGGGUUAUGGUUAGGGUUAGGGUUGGAGCUAGGGUUAGGGUUAGGGUUAGGGUUGGAGUUAGGGUUAGUGUUGGAGCUAGGGUUAGGGUUGGGCUUGGAGCUAGGAUUUUUCUGAGUGCAAUGAACCAACUCCCGAGUCUCUAGGAUGUUCCUAAAAAAAUUUGAUUUUUUCCCAUAGGAAUGCAUGGGUUAGGGUUAGGGUUGGAGCUAGGGUUAGGGUUAGGGUUGGAGUUAGGGUUAGUGUUGGAGCUAGGGUUAGGGUUGGGCUUGGAGCUAGGAUUUUUCUGAGUGCAAUGAACCAACUCCCGAGUCUCUAGGACGUUCCUAAAAAAAUUUGAUUUUUUCCCAUAGGAAUGCAUGGGUUAGGGUUAGGGUUAGGGUUGGAGUUAGGGUUUGUGUUGGAGCUAGGGUUAGGGUUGGGCUUGGAGCUAGGAUUUUUCUGAGUGCAAUGAACCAACUCCCGAGUCUCUAGGACGUUCCUAAAAAAAUUUGAUUUUUUCCCAUAGGAAUGCAUGGAUUAGGGUUAGGUUUAGGGUUGGAGCUAGGGUUAGGGUUAGGGUUGGAGUUAGGGUUAGUGUUGGAGCUAGGGUUAGGGUUGGGCUUGGAGCUAGGAUUUUUCUGAGUGCAAUGAACCAACUCCCGAGUCUCUAGGACGUUCCUAAAAAAAUUUGAUUUUUUCCCAUAGGAAUGCAUGGGUUAGGGUUAGGGUUAGGGUUGGAGCUAGGGUUAGGGUUAGGGUUAGGGUUGGGGUUGGAGUUAGGGUUAGUGUUGGAGCUAGGGUUAGGGUUGGGCUUGGAGCUAGGAUUUUCUGAGUGCAUGAACCAACUCCCGAGUCUCUAGGACUUCCUAAAAAAAUUUGAUUUUUUCCCAUAGGAAUGCAUGGGUUAGGUUAGGGUUAGGGUUAGGGUUGGAGCUAGGGUUAGGGUUAGGGUUAGGGUUGGAGUUAGGGUUAGUGUUGGAGCUAGGGUUAGGGUUGGGCUUGGAGCUAGGAUUUUUCUGAGUGCACUGAACCAACUCCCGAGUCUCUAGGACAUUCCUAAAAAAAUUUGAUUUUUUCCCAUAGGAAUGCAUGGGUUAGGGUUAGGGUUAGGGUUAGGGUUGGAGCUAGGGUUAGGGUUAGGGUUAGGGUUGGAGUUAGGGUUAGUGUUGGAGCUAGGGUUAGGGUUGGGCUUGGAGCUAGGAUUUUUCUGAGUGCAAUGAACCAACUCCCGAGUCUCUAGGACGUUCCUAAAAAAAUUUGAUUUUUUCCCAUAGGAAUGCAUGGGUUAGGGUUAGGGUUAGGGUUGGAGCUAGGGUUAGGGUUAGGGUUAGGGUUGGAGUUAGGGUUAGUGUUGGAGCUAGGGUUAGGGUUGGGCUUGGAGCUAGGAUUUUUCUGAGUGCACUGAACCAACUCCCGAGUCUCUAGGACGUUCCUAAAAAAAAUUGAUUUUUUCCCAUAGGAAUGCAUGGGUUAGGGUUAGGGUUAGGGUUGGAGCUAGGGUUAGGGUUAGGGUUAGGGUUGGAGUUAGGGUUAGUGUUGGAGCUAGGGUUAGGGUUGGGCUUGGAGCUAGGAUUUUUCUGAGUGCACUGAACCAACUCCCGAGUCUCUAGGACAUUCCUAAAAAAAUUGAUUUUUUCCCAUAGGAAUGCAUGGGUUAGGGUUAGGGUUAGGGUUGGAGCUAGGGUUAGGGUUAGGGUUAGGGUUGGAGUUAGGGUUAGUGUUGGAGCUAGGGUUAGGGUUGGGCUUGGAGCUAGGAUUUUUCUGAGUGCACUGAACCAACUCCCGAGUCUCUAGGACAUUCCUAAAAAAAUUUGAUUUUUUUCCCAUAGGAAUGCAUGGGUUAGGGUUAGGGUUAGGGUUGGAGCUAGGGUUAGGGUUAGGGUUAGGGUUAGGGUUGGAGUUAGGGUUAGUGUUGGAGCUAGGGUUAGGGUUGGGCUUGGAGCUAGGAUUUUUCUGAGUGCACUGAACCAACUCCCGAGUCUCUAGGACAUUCCUAAAAAAUUUGAUUUUUUCCCAUAGGAAUGCAUGGGUUAGGGUUAGGGUUAGGGUUGGAGCUAGGGUUAGGGUUAGGGUUAGGGUUGGAGUUAGGGUUAGUGUUGGAGCUAGGGUUAGGGUUGGGCUUGGAGCUAGGAUUUUUCUGAGUGCACUGAACCAACUCCCGAGUCUCUAGGACGUUCCUAAAAAAAUUUGAUUUUUUCCCAUAGGAAUGCAUGGGUUAGGGUUAUGGUUAGGGUUAGGGUUGGAGCUAGGGUUAGGGUUAGGGUUAGGGUUGGAGUUAGGGUUAGUGUUGGAGCUAGGGUUAGGGUUGGGCUUGGAGCUAGGAUUUUCUGAGUGCAAUGAACCAACUCCCGAGUCUCUAGGACGUUCCUAAAAAAAUUUGAUUUUUUCCCAUAGGAAUGCAUGGGUUAGGGUUAGGGUUAGGGUUGGAGCUAGGGUUAGGGUUAGGGUUAGGGUUGGAGUUAGGGUUAGUGUUGGAGCUAGGGUUAGGGUUGGGCUUGGAGCUAGGAUUUUUCUGAGUGCAAUGAACCAACUCCCGAGUCUCUAGGACGUUCCUAAAAAAAUUUGAUUUUUUCCCUUAGGAAUGCAUGGGUUAGGGUUAGGGUUAGGGUUGGAGCUAGGGUUAGGGUUAGGGUUAGGGUUGGAGUUAGGGUUAGUGUUGGAGCUAGGGUUAGGGUUGGGCUUGGAGCUAGGACUUUUCUGAGUGCAAUGAACCAACUCCCGAGUCUCUAGGACGUUCCUAAAAAAAUUUGUUUUUUUCCCAUAGGAAUGCAUGGGUUAGGGUUAGGGUUAGGGUUGGAGCUAGGGUUAGGGUUAGGGUUAGGGUUGGAGUUAGGGUUAGUGUUGGAGCUAGGGUUAGGGUUGGGCUUGGAGCUAGGAUUUUUCUGAGUGCACUGAACCAACUCCCGAGUCUCUAGGACGUUCCUAAAAAAAUUUGAUUUUUUUCCCAUAGGAAUGCAUGGGUUAGGGUUAGGGUUAGGGUUGGAGCUAGGGUUAGGGUUAGGGUUAGGGUUGGAGUUAGGGUUAGUGUUGGAGCUAGGGUUAGGGUUGGGCUUGGAGCUAGGAUUUUUCUGAGUGCACUGAACCAACUCCCGAGUCUCUAGGACAUUCCUAAAAAAAUUUGAUUUUUUCCCAUAGGAAUGCAUGGGUUAGGGUUAGGGUUAGGGUUGGAGCUAGGGUUAGGGUUAGGGUUAGGGUUGGAGUUAGGGUUAGUGUUGGAGCUAGGGUUAGGGUUGGGCUUGGAGCUAGGAUUUUUCUGAGUGCAAUGAACCAACUCCCGAGUCUCUAGGACGUUCCUAAAAAAAUUUGAUUUUUUCCCAUAGGAAUGCAUGGGUUAGGGUUAUGGUUAGGGUUAGGGUUGGAGCUAGGGUUAGGGUUAGGGUUAGGGUUGGAGUUAGGGUUAGUGUUGGAGCUAGGGUUAGGGUUGGGCUUGGAGCUAGGAUGUUUCUGAGUGCAAUGAACCAACUCCCGAGUCUCUUCGACGUUCCUAAAAAAUUUGAUUUUUUCCCAUAGGAAUGCAUGGGUUAGGGUUAGGGUUAGGGUUGGAGCUAGGGUUAGGGUUAGGGUUAGGGUUGGAGUUAGGGUUAGUGUUGGAGCUAGGGUUAGGGUUGGGCUUGGAGCUAGGAUUUUUCUGAGUGCAAUGAACCAACUCCCGAGUCUCUAGGACGUUCCUAAAAAAAUUUGAUUUUUUCCCAUAGGAAUGCAUGGGUUAGGGUUAGGGUUAGGGUUGGAGCUAGGGUUAGGGUUAGGGUUAGGGUUGGAGUUAGGGUUAGUGUUGGAGCUAGGGUUAGGGUUGGGCUUGGAGCUAGGAUUUUUCUGAGUGCAAUGAACCAACUCCCGAGUCUCUAGGACGUUCCUAAAAAAAAUUGUUUUUUUUCCCAUAGGAAUGCAUGGGUUAGGGUUAGGGUUAGGGUUGGAGCUAGGGUUAGGGUUAGGGUUAGGGUUGGAGUUAGGGUUAGUGUUGGAGCUAGGGUUAGGGUUGGGCUUGGAGCUAGGAUUUUUCUGAGUGCACUGAACCAACUCCCGAGUCUCUAGGACAUUCCUAAAAAAAUUUGAUUUUUUCCCUUAGGAAUGCAUGGGUUAGGGUUAUGGCUAGGGUUAGGGUUGGAGCUAGGGUUAGGGUUGGAGUUAGGGUUAGUGUUGGAGCUAGGGUUAGGGUUGGGCUUGGAGCUAGGACUUUUCUGAGUGCAAUGAACCAACUCCCGAGUCUCUAGGACGUUCCCUAAAAAAAUUUGAUUUUUCCCAUAGGAAUGCAUGGGUUAGGGUUAGGGUUAGGGUUGGAGCUAGGGUUAGGGUUAGGGUUAGGGUUGGAGUUAGGGUUAGUGUUGGAGCUAGGGUUAGGGUUGGGCUUGGAGCUAGGAUUUUUCUGAGUGCACUGAACCAACUCCCGAGUCUCUAGGACAUUCCUAAAAAAAUUUGAUUUUUUUCCCAUAGGAAUGCAUGGGUUAGGGUUAGGGUUAGGGUUGGAGCUAGGGUUAGGGUUAGGGUUAGGGUUGGAGUUAGGGUUAGUGUUGGAGCUAGGGUUAGGGUUGGGCUUGGAGCUAGGAUUUUUCUGAGUGCACUGAACCAACUCCCGAGUCUCUAGGACGUUCCUAAAAAAAUUUGAUUUUUUUCCCAUAGGAAUGCAUGGGUUAGGGUUAGGGUUAGGGUUGGAGCUAGGGUUAGGGUUAGGGUUAGGGUUAGGGUUGGAGUUAGGGUUAGUGUUGGAGCUAGGGUUAGGGUUGGGCUUGGAGCUAGGAUUUUUCUGAGUGCACUGAACCAACUCCCGAGUCUCUAGGACAUUCCUAAAAAAAAUUGAUUUUUUCCCAUAGGAAUGCAUGGGUUAGGGUUAGGGUUAGGGUUGGAGCUAGGGUUAGGGUUAGGGUUAGGGUUGGAGUUAGGGUUAGUGUUGGAGCUAGGGUUAGGGUUGGGCUUGGAGCUAGGAUUUUUCUGAGUGCACUGAACCAACUCCCGAGUCUCUAGGACGUUCCUUAAAAAAAUUUGAUUUUUUCCCAUAGGAAUGCAUGGGUUAGGGUUAUGGUUAGGGUUAGGGUUGGAGCUAGGGUUAGGGUUAGGGUUAGGGUUGGAGUUAGGGUUAGUGUUGGAGCUAGGGUUAGGGUUGGGCUUGGAGCUAGGAUUUUUCUGAGUGCAAUGAACCAACUCCCGAGUCUCUAGGACGUUCCUAAAAAAAUUUGAUUUUUUUCCCUUAGGAAUGCAUGGGUUAGGGUUAGGGUUAGGGUUGGAGCUAGGGUUAAGGUUAGGGUUAGGGUUGGAGUUAGGGUUAGUGUUGGAGCUAGGGUUAGGGUUGGGCUUGGAGCUAGGACUUUUCUGAGUGCAAUGAACCAACUCCCGAGUCUCUAGGACGUUCCUAAAAAAAUUUGAUUUUUUUCCCAUAGGAAUGCAUGGGUUAGGGUUAGGGUUAGGGUUGGAGCUAGGGUUAGGGUUAGGGUUAGGGUUGGAGUUAGGGUUAGUGUUGGAGCUAGGGUUAGGGUUGGGCUUGGAGCUAGGAUUUUUCUGAGUGCACUGAACCAACUCCCGAGUCUCUAGGACGUUCCUAAAAAAAUUUGAUUUUUUUCCCAUAGGAAUGCAUGGGUUAGGGUUAGGGUUAGGGUUGGAGCUAGGGUUAGGGUUAGGGUUAGGGUUAGGGUUGGAGUUAGGGUUAGUGUUGGAGCUAGGGUUAGGGUUGGGCUUGGAGCUAGGAUUUUUCUGAGUGCACUGAACCAACUCCCGAGUCUCUAGGACAUUCCUAAAAAAAAUUGAUUUUUUCCCAUAGGAAUGCAUGGGUUAGGGUUAGGGUUAGGGUUGGAGCUAGGGUUAGGGUUAGGGUUAGGGUUGGAGUUAGGGUUAGUGUUGGAGCUAGGGUUAGGGUUGGGCUUGGAGCUAGGAUUUUUCUGAGUGCACUGAACCAACUCCCGAGUCUCUAGGACGUUCCUUAAAAAAAUUUGAUUUUUUCCCAUAGGAAUGCAUGGGUUAGGGUUAUGGUUAGGGUUAGGGUUGGAGCUAGGGUUAGGGUUAGGGUUAGGGUUGGAGUUAGGGUUAGUGUUGGAGCUAGGGUUAGGGUUGGGCUUGGAGCUAGGAUGUUUCUGAGUGCAAUGAACCAACUCCCGAGUCUCUUCGACGUUCCUAAAAAAAUUUGAUUUUUUCCCAUAGGAAUGCAUGGGUUAGGGUUAGGGUUAGGGUUGGAGCUAGGGUUAGGGUUAGGGUUAGGGUUGGAGUUAGGGUUAGUGUUGGAGCUAGGGUUAGGGUUGGGCUUGGAGCUAGGAUUUUUCUGAGUGCAAUGAACCAACUCCCGAGUCUCUAGGACGUUCCUAAAAAAAUUUGAUUUUUUCCCUUAGGAAUGCAUGGGUUAGGGUUAGGGUUAGGGUUGGAGCUAGGGUUAGGGUUAGGGUUAGGGUUGGAGUUAGGGUUAGUGUUGGAGCUAGGGUUAGGGUUGGGCUUGGAGCUAGGACUUUUCUGAGUGCAAUGAACCAACUCCCGAGUCUCUAGGACGUUCCUAAAAAAAUUUGAUUUUUUUCCCAUAGGAAUGCAUGGGUUAGGGUUAGGGUUAGGGUUGGAGCUAGGGUUAGGGUUAGGGUUAGGGUUGGAGUUAGGGUUAGUGUUGGAGCUAGGGUUAGGGUUGGGCUUGGAGCUAGGAUUUUUCUGAGUGCAAUGAACCAACUCCCGAGUCUCUUGGACGUUCCUAAAAAAAUUUGAUUUUUUCCCAUAGGAAUGCAUGGGUUAGGGUUAGGGUUAGGGUUGGAGCUAGGGUUAGGGUUAGGGUUAGGGUUGGAGUUAGGGUUAGUGUUGGAGCUAGGGUUAGGGUUGGGCUUGGAGCUAGGACUUUUCUGAGUGCACUGAACCAACUCCCGAGUCUCUAGGACAUUCCUAAAAAAAUUUGAUUUUUUCCCAUAGGAAUGCAUGGUUUAGGGUUAUGGUUAGGGUUAGGGUUGGAGCUAGGGUUAGGGUUGGAGUUAGGGUUAGUGUUGGAGCUAGGGUUAGGGUUGGGCUUGGAGCUAGGACUUUUCUGAGUGCAAUGAACCAACUCCCGAGUCUCUAGGACGUUCCCUAAAAAAAUUUGAUUUUUUCCCAUAGGAAUGCAUGGGUUAGGGUUAGGGUUAGGGUUGGAGCUAGGGUUAGGGUUAGGGUUAGGGUUGGAGUUAGGGUUAGUGUUGGAGCUAGGGUUAGGGUUGGGCUUGGAGCAAGGAUUUUUCUGAGUGCACUGAACCAACUCCCGAGUCUCUAGGACAUUCCUAAAAAAAUUUGAUUUUUUCCCAUAGGAAUGCAUGGGUUAGGGUUAUGGUUAGGGUUAGGGUUGGAGCUAGGGUUAGGGUUAGGGUUAGGGUUGGAGUUAGGGUUAGUGUUGGAGCUAGGGUUAGGGUUGGGCUUGGAGCUAGGAUUUUUCUGAGUGCACUGAACCAACUCCCGAGUCUCUAGGACAUUCCUAAAAAAAUUUGAUUUUUUCCCAUAGGAAUGCAUGGGUUAGGGUUAGGGUUAGGGUUGGAGCUAGGGUUAGGGUUGGAGUUAGGGUUAGUGUUGGAGCUAGGGUUAGGGUUGGGCUUGGAGCUAGGAUUUUUCUGAGUGCACUGAACCAACUCCCGAGUCUCUAGGACAUUCCUAAAAAAAUUUGAUUUUUUCCCAUAGGAAUGCAUGGGUUAGGGUUAGGGUUAGGGUUGGAGCUAGGGUUAGGGUUAGGGUUAGGGUUGGAGUUAGGGUUAGUGUUGGAGCUAGGGUUAGGGUUGGGCUAGGAGCUAGGAUUUUUCUGAGUGCACUGAACCAACUCCCGAGUCUCUAGGACAUUCCUAAAAAAAUUUGAUUUUUUCCCAUAGGAAUGCAUGGGUUAGGGUUAGGGUUAGGGUUGGAGCUAGGGUUAGGGUUAGGGUUAGGGUUGGAGUUAGGGUUAGUGUUGGAGCUAGGGUUAGGGUUGGGCUUGGAGCUAGGAUUUUUCUGAGUGCACUGAACCAACUCCCGAGUCUCUAGGACAUUCCUAAAAAAAAUUGAUUUUUUCCCAUAGGAAUGCAUGGGUUAGGGUUAUGGUUAGGGUUAGGGUUGGAGCUAGGGUUAGGGUUAGGGUUAGGGUUGGAGUUAGGGUUAGUGUUGGAGCUAGGGUUAGGGUUGGGCUUGGAGCUAGGAUUUUUCUGAGUGCACUGAACCAACUCCCGAGUCUCUAGGACGUUCCUAAAAAAAUUUGAUUUUUUCCCAUAGGAAUGCAUGGGUUAGGGUUAGGGUUAGGGUUGGAGCUAGGGUUAGGGUUAGGGUUAGGGUUGGAGUUAGGGUUAGUGUUGGAGCUAGGGUUAGGGUUGGGCUUGGAGCUAGGAUUUUUCUGAGUGCACUGAACCAACUCCCGAGUCUCUAGGACAUUCCUAAAAAAAUUUGAUUUUUUCCCAUAGGAAUGCAUGGGUUAGGGUUAGGGUUAGGGUUGGAGCUAGGGUUAGGGUUAGGGUUAGGGUUGGAGUUAGGGUUAGUGUUGGAGCUAGGGUUAGGGUUGGGCUUGGAGCUAGGAUUUUUCUGAGUGCACUGAACCAACUCCCGAGUCUCUAGGACGUUCCUAAAAAAAUUUGAUUUUUUCCCAUAGGAAUGCAUGGGUUAGGGUUAGGGUUAGGGUUGGAGCUAGGGUUAGGGUUAGGGUUAGGGUUAGGGUUGGAGUUAGGGUUAGUGUUGGAGCUAGGGUUAGGGUUGGGCUUGGAGCUAGGAUUUUUCUGAGUGCACUGAACCAACUCCCGAGUCUCUAGGACAUUCCUAAAAAAAUUUGAUUUUUUCCCAUAGGAAUGCAUGGGUUAGGGUUAGGGUUAGGGUUAGGGUUGGAGCUAGGGUUAGGGUUAGGGUUAGGGUUGGAGUUAGGGUUAGUGUUGGAGCUAGGGUUAGGGUUGGGCUUGGAGCUAGGAUUUUUCUGAGUGCAAUGAACCAACUCCCGAGUCUCUAGGACGUUCCUAAAAAAAUUUGAUUUUUUCCCAUAGGAAUGCAUGGGUUAGGGUUAUGGUUAGGGUUAGGGUUGGAGCUAGGGUUAGGGUUAGGGUUAGGGUUGGAGUUAGGGUUAGUGUUGGAGCUAGGGUUAGGGUUGGGCUUGGAGCUAGGAUUUUUCUGAGUGCAAUGAACCAACUCCCGAGUCUCUAGGACGUUCCUAAAAAAAUUUGAUUUUUUUCCCAUAGGAAUGCAUGGGUUAGGGUUAGGGUUAGGGUUGGAGCUAGGGUUAGGGUUAGGGUUGGAGUUAGGGUUAGUGUUGGAGCUAGGGUUAGGGUUGGGCUUGGAGCUAGGACUUUUCUGAGUGCAAUGAACCAACUCCCGAGUCUCUAGGACGUUCCUAAAAAAAUUUGAUUUUUUUCCCAUAGGAAUGCAUGGGUUAGGGUUAGGGUUAGGGUUGGAGCUAGGGUUAGGGUUAGGGUUAGGGUUGGAGUUAGGGUUAGUGUUGGAGCUAGGGUUAGGGUUGGGCUUGGAGCUAGGAUUUUUCUGAGUGCACUGAACCAACUCCCGAGUCUCUAGGACAUUCCUAAAAAAAUUUGAUUUUUUCCCAUAGGAAUGCAUGGGUUAGGGUUAUGGUUAGGGUUAGGGUUGGAUUUAGGGUUAGGGUUAGGGUUAGGGUUGGAGUUAGGGUUAGUGUUGGAGCUAGGGUUAGGGUUGGGCUUGGAGCUAGGAUUUUUCUGAGUGCACUGAACCAACUCCCGAGUCUCUAGGACAUUCCUAAAAAAAUUUGAUUUUUUCCCAUAGGAAUGCAUGGGUUAGGGUUAGGGUUAGGGUUGGUGCUAGGGUUAGGGUUAGGGUUAGGGUUGGAGUUAGGGUUAGUGUUGGAGCUAGGGUUAGGGUUGGGCUUGGAGCUAGGAUUUUUCUGAGUGCACUGAACCAACUCCCGAGUCUCUAGGACAUUCCUAAAAAAAUUUGAUUUUUUCCCAUAGGAAUGCAUGGGUUAGGGUUAUGGUUAGGGUUAGGGUUGGAGCUAGGGUUAGGGUUAGGGUUAGGGUUGGAGUUAGGGUUAGUGUUGGAGCUAGGGUUAGGGUUGGGCUUGGAGCUAGGAUUUUUCUGAGUGCACUGAACCAACUCCCGAGUCUCUAGGACGUUCCCUAAAAAAAUUUGAUUUUUUCCCAUAGGAAUGCAUGGGUUAGGGUUAGGGUUAGGGUUGGAGCUAGGGUUAGGGUUAGGGUUAGGGUUGGAGUUAGGGUUAGUGUUGGAGCUAGGGUUAGGGUUGGGCUUGGAGCUAGGAUUUUUCUGAGUGCACUGAACCAACUCCCGAGUCUCUAGGACAUUCCUAAAAAAAUUUGAUUUUUUCCCAUAGGAAUGCAUGGGUUAGGGUUAUGGUUAGGGUUAGGGUUGGAGCUAGGGUUAGGGUUAGGGUUAGGGUUGGAGUUAGGGUUAGUGUUGGAGCUAGGGUUAGGGUUGGGCUUGGAGCUAGGAUUUUUCUGAGUGCACUGAACCAACUCCCGAGUCUCUAGGACAUUCCUAAAAAAAUUUGAUUUUUUCCCAUAGGAAUGCAUGGGUUAGGGUUAUGGUUAGGGUUAGGGUUGGAGCUAGGGUUAGGGUUAGGGUUGGAGUUAGGGUUAGUGUUGGAGCUAGGGUUAGGGUUGGGCUUGGAGCUAGGAUUUUUCUGAGUGCACUGAACCAACUCCCGAGUCUCUAGGAUGUUCCUAAAAAAAUUUGAUUUUUUCCCAUAGGAAUGCAUGGGUUAGGGUUAGGGUUAGGGUUGGAGCUAGGGUUAGGGUUAGGGUUAGGGUUGGAGUUAGGAUUAGUGUUGGAGCUAGGGUUAGGGUUGGGCUUGGAGCUAGGGUUUUUCUGAGUGCACUGAACCAACUCCCGAGUCUCUAGGACAUUCCUAAAGAAAUUUGAUUUUUUCCCAUAGGAAUGCAUGGGUUAGGGUUAGGGUUAGGGUUGGAGCUAGGGUUAGGGUUAGGGUUAGGGUUGGAGUUAGGGUUAGUGUUGGAGCUAGGGUUAGGGUUGGGCUUGGAGCUAGGAUUUUUCUGAGUGCACUGAACCAACUCCCGAGUCUCUAGGACAUUCCUAAAAAAAUUUGAUUUUUUCCCAUAGGAAUGCAUGGGUUAGGGUUAGGGUUAGGGUUAGGGUUGGAGCUAGGGUUAGGGUUAGGGUUGGAGUUAGGGUUAGUGUUGGAGCUAGGGUUAGGGUUGGGCUUGGAGCUAGGAUUUUUCUGAGUGCACUGAACCAACUCCCGAGUCUCUAGGAUGUUCCUAAAAAAAUUUGAUUUUUUCCCAUAGGAAUGCAUGGGUUAGGGUUAGGGUUAGGGUUGGAGCUAGGGUUAGGGUUAGGGUUAGGGUUGGAGUUAGAAUUAGUGUUGGAGCUAGGGUUAGGGUUGGGCUUGGAGCUAGGAUUUUUCUGAGUGCACUGAACCAACUCCCGAGUCUCUAGGACAUUCCUAAAGAAAUUUGAUUUUUUCCCAUAGGAAUGCAUGGGUUAGGGUUAGGGUUAGGGUUGGAGCUAGGGUUAGGGUUAGGGUUAGGGUUGGAGUUAGGGUUAGUGUUGGAGCUAGGGUUAGGGUUGGGCUUGGAGCUAGGAUUUUUCUGAGUGCAAUGAACCAACUCCCGAGUCUCUAGGACAUUCCUAAAAAAAUUUGAUUUUUUCCCAUAGGAAUGCAUGGGUUAGGGUUAUGGUUAGGGUUAGGGUUGGAGCUAGGGUUAGGGUUAGGGUUAGGGUUGGAGUUAGGGUUAGUGUUGGAGCUAGGGUUAGGGUUGGGCUUGGAGCUAGGAUUUUUCUGAGUGCACUGAACCAACUCCCGAGUCUCUAGGACGUUCCUAAAAAAAUUUGAUUUUUUCCCAUAGGAAUGCAUGGGUUAGGGUUAGGGUUAGGGUUGGAGCUAGGGUUAGGGUUAGGGUUAGGGUUGGAGUUAGGGUUAGUGUUGGAGCUAGGGUUAGGGUUGGGCUUGGAGCUAGGAUUUUUCUGAGUGCACUGAACCAACUCCCGAGUCUCUAGGACAUUCCUAAAAAAAUUUGAUUUUUUUCCCAUAGGAAUGCAUGGGUUAGGGUUAGGGUUAGGGUUGGAGCUAGGGUUAGGGUUAGGGUUAGGGUUGGAGUUAGGGUUAGUGUUGGAGCUAGGGUUAGGGUUGGGCUUGGAGCUAGGAUUUUUCUGAGUGCAAUGAACCAACUCCCGAGUCUCUAGGACAUUCCUAAAAAAAUUUGAUUUUUUCCCAUAGGAAUGCAUGGGUUAGGGUUAUGGUUAGGGUUAGGGUUGGAGCUAGGGUUAGGGUUAGGGUUAGGGUUGGAGUUAGGGUUAGUGUCGGAGCUAGGGUUAGGGUUGGGCUUGGAGCUAGGAUUUUUCUGAGUGCACUGAACCAACUCCCGAGUCUCUAGGACAUUCCUAAAAAAAUUUGAUUUUUUCCCAUAGGAAUGCAUGGGUUAGGGUUAUGGUUAGGGUUAGGUUUGGAGCUAGGGUUAGGGUUAGGGUUAGGGUUGGAGUUAGGGUUAGUGUUGGAGCUAGGGUUAGGGUUGGGCUUGGAGCUAGGAUUUUUCUGAGUGCACUGAACCAACUCCCGAGUCUCUAGGACAUUCCUAAAGAAAUUUGAUUUUUUCCCAUAGGAAUGCAUGGGUUAGGGUUAGGGUUAGGGUUGGAGCUAGGGUUAGGGUUAGGGUUAGGGUUGGAGUUAGGGUUAGUGUUGGAGCUAGGGUUAGGGUUGGGCUUGGAGCUAGGAUUUUUCUGAGUGCACUGAACCAACUCCCGAGUCUCUAGGACAUUCCUAAAAAAAUUUGAUUUUUUCCCAUAGGAAUGCAUGGGUUAGGGUUAGGGUUAGGGUUAGGGUUGGAGCUAGGGUUAGGGUUAGGGUUGGAGUUAGGGUUAGUGUUGGAGCUAGGGUUAGGGUUGGGCUUGGAGCUAGGAUUUUUCUGAGUGCACUGAACCAACUCCCGAGUCUCUAGGAUGUUCCUAAAAAAAUUUGAUUUUUUCCCAUAGGAAUGCAUGGGUUAGGGUUAGGGUUAGGGUUGGAGCUAGGGUUAGGGUUAGGGUUAGGGUUGGAGUUAGGAUUAGUGUUGGAGCUAGGGUUAGGGUUGGGCUUGGAGCUAGGAUUUUUCUGAGUGCACUGAACCAACUCCCGAGUCUCUAGGACAUUCCUAAAGAAAUUUGAUUUUUUCCCAUAGGAAUGCAUGGGUUAGGGUUAGGGUUAGGGUUGGAGCUAGGGUUAGGGUUAGGGUUAGGGUUGGAGUUAGGGUUAGUGUUGGAGCUAGGGUUAGGGUUGGGCUUGGAGCUAGGAUUUUUCUGAGUGCAAUGAACCAACUCCCGAGUCUCUAGGACAUUCCUAAAAAAAUUUGAUUUUUUACCAUAGGAAUGCAUGGGUUAGGGUUAUGGUUAGGGUUAGGGUUGGAGCUAGGGUUAGGGUUAGGGUUAGGGUUGGAGUUAGGGUUAGUGUUGGAGCUAGGGUUAGGGUUGGGCUUGGAGCUAGGAUUUUUCUGAGUGCACUGAACCAACUCCCGAGUCUCUAGGACGUUCCUAAAAAAAUUUGAUUUUUUCCCAUAGGAAUGCAUGGGUUAGGGUUAGGGUUAGGGUUGGAGCUAGGGUUAGGGUUAGGGUUAGGGUUGGAGUUAGGGUUAGUGUUGGAGCUAGGGUUAGGGUUGGGCUUGGAGCUAGGAUUUUUCUGAGUGCACUGAACCAACUCCCGAGUCUCUAGGACAUUCCUAAAAAAAUUUGAUUUUUUUCCCAUAGGAAUGCAUGGGUUAGGGUUAGGGUUAGGGUUGGAGCUAGGGUUAGGGUUAGGGUUAGGGUUGGAGUUAGGGUUAGUGUUGGAGCUAGCGUUAGGGUUGGGCUUGGAGCUAGGAUUUUUCUGAGUGCAAUGAACCAACUCCCGAGUCUCUAGGACAUUCCUAAAAAAAUUUGAUUUUUUCCCAUAGGAAUGCAUGGGUUAGGGUUAUGGUUAGGGUUAGGGUUGGAGCUAGGGUUAGGGUUAGGGUUAGGGUUUGAGUUAGGGUUAGUGUCGGAGCUAGGGUUAGGGUUGGGCUUGGAGCUAGGAUUUUUCUGAGUGCACUGAACCAACUCCCGAGUCUCUAGGACAUUCCUAAAAAAAUUUGAUUUUUUCCCAUAGGAAUGCAUGGGUUAGGGUUAUGGUUAGGGUUAGGGUUGGAGCUAGGGUUAGGGUUAGGGUUAGGGUUGGAGUUAGGGUUAGUGUUGGAGCUAGGGUUAGGGUUGGGCUUGGAGCUAGGAUUUUUCUGAGUGCACUGAACCAACUCCCGAGUCUCUAGGACGUUCCUAAAAAAAUUGAUUUUUUCCCAUAGGAAUGCAUGGGUUAGGGUUAGGGUUAGGGUUGGACCUAGGGUUAGGGUUGGAGUUAGGGUUAGUGUUGGAGCUAGGGUUAGGGUUGGGCUUGGAGCUAGGAUUUUUCUGAGUGCACUGAACCAACUCCCGAGUCUCUAGGACAUUCCUAAAAAAACUUGAUUUUUUCCCAUAGGAAUGCAUGGGUUAGGGUUAGGGUUAGGGUUGGAGCUAGGGUUAGGGUUAGGGUUAGGGUUGGAGUUAGGGUUAGUGUUGGAGCUAGGGUUAGGGUUGGGCUUGGAGCUAGGAUUUUUCUGAGUGCACUGAACCAACUCCCGAGUCUCUAGGACAUUCCUAAAAAAAAUUGAUUUUUUCCCAUAGGAAUGCAUGGGUUAGGGUUAUGGUUAGGGUUAGGGUUGGAGCUAGGGUUAGGGUUAGGGUUAGGGUUGGAGUUAGGGUUAGUGUUGGAGCUAGGGUUAGGGUUGGGCUUGGAGCUAGGAUUUUUCUGAGUGCACUGAACCAACUCCCGAGUCUCUAGGACGUUCCUAAAAAAAUUUGAUUUUUUCCCAUAGGAAUGCAUGGGUUAGGGUUAGGGUUAGGGUUGGAGCUAGGGUUAGGGUUAGGGUUAGGGUUGGAGUUAGGGUUAGUGUUGGAGCUAGGGUUAGGGUUGGGCUUGGAGCUAGGAUUUUUCUGAGUGCACUGAACCAACUCCCGAGUCUCUAGGACAUUCCUAAAAAAAUUUGAUUUUUUCCAAUAGGAAUGCAUGGGUUAGGGUUAGGGUUAGGGUUGGAGCUAGGGUUAGGGUUAGGGUUAGGGUUGGAGUUAGGGUUAGGGUUGGAGCUAGGGUUAGGGUUGGGCUUGGAGCUAGGAUUUUUCUGAGUGCACUGAACCAACUCCCGAGUCUCUAGGACAUUCCUAAAAAAAUUUGAUUUUUUCCCAUAGGAAUGCAUGGGUUAGGGUUAGGGUUAGGGUUGGAGCUAGGGUUAGGGUUAGGGUUAGGGUUGGAGUUAGGGUUAGUGUUGGAGCUAGGGUUAGGGUUGGGCUUGGAGCUAGGAUUUUUCUGAGUGCACUGAACCAACUCCCGAGUCUCUAGGACAUUCCUAAAAAAAUUGAAUUUUUUCCCAUAGGAAUGCAUGGGUUAGGGUUAUGGUUAGGGUUAGGGUUGGAGCUAGGGUUAGGGUUAGGGUUAGGGUUGGAGUUAGGGUUAGUGUUGGAGCUAGGGUUAGGGUUGGGCUUGGAGCUAGGAUUUUUCUGAGUGCACUGAACCAACUCCCGAGUCUCUAGGACAUUCCUAAAAAAAUUUGAUUUUUUCCCAUAGGAAUGCAUGGGUUAGGGUUAUGGUUAGUGUUAGGGUUGGAGCUAGGGUUAGGGUUAGGGUUAGGGUUGGAGUUAGGGUUAGUGUUGGAGCUAGGGUUAGGGUUGGGCUUGGAGCUAGGACUUUUCUGAGUGCACUGAACCAACUCCCGAGUCUCUAGGACAUUCCUAAAAAAAUUUGAUUUUUUCCCAUAGGAAUGCAUGGGUUAGGGUUAGGGUUAGGGUUGGAGCUAGGGUUAGGGUUAGGGUUAGGGUUGGAGUUAGGGUUAGUGUUGGAGCUAGGGUUAGGGUUGGGCUUGGAGCUAGGAUUUUUCUGAGUGCACUGAACCAACUCCCGAGUCUCUAGGACAUUCCUAAAAAAAUUUGAUUUUUUCCCAUAGGAAUGCAUGGGUUAGGGUUAUGGUUAGGGUUAGGGUUGGAGCUAGGGUUAGGGUUAGGGUUGGAGUUAGGGUUAGUGUUGGAGCUAGGGUUAGGGUUGGGCUUGGAGCUAGGAUUUUUCUGAGUGCACUGAACCAACUCCCGAGUCUCUAGGAUGUUCCUAAAAAAAUUUGAUUUUUUCCCAUAGGAAUGCAUGGGUUAGGGUUAGGGUUAGGGUUGGAGCUAGGGUUAGGGUUAGGGUUAGGGUUGGAGUUAGGAUUAGUGUUGGAGCUAGGGUUAGGGUUGGGCUUGGAGCUAGGAUUUUUCUGAGUGCACUGAACCAACUCCCGAGUCUCUAGGACAUUCCUAAAGAAAUUUGAUUUUUUCCCAUAGGAAUGCAUGGGUUAGGGUUAGGGUUAGGGUUGGAGCUAGGGUUAGGGUUAGGGUUAGGGUUGGAGUUCGGGUUAGUGUUGGAGCUAGGGUUAGGGUUGGGCUUGGAGCUAGGAUUUUUCUGAGUGCACUGAACCAACUCCCGAGUCUCUAGGACAUUCCUAAAAAAAUUUGAUUUUUUCCCAUAGGAAUGCAUGGGUUAGGGUUAUGGUUAGGGUUAGGGUUGGAGCUAGGGUUAGGGUUAGGGUUGGAGUUAGGGUUAGUGUUGGAGCUAGGGUUAGGGUUGGGCUUGGAGCUAGGAUUUUUCUGAGUGCACUGAACCAACUCCCGAGUCUCUAGGAUGUUCCUAAAAAAAUUUGAUUUUUUCCCAUAGGAAUGCAUGGGUUAGGGUUAGGGUUAGGGUUGGAGCUAGGGUUAGGGUUAGGGUUAGGGUUGGAGUUAGGAUUAGUGUUGGAGCUAGGGUUAGGGUUGGGCUUGGAGCUAGGAUUUUUCUGAGUGCACUGAACCAACUCCCGAGUCUCUAGGACAUUCCUAAAGAAAUUUGAUUUUUUCCCAUAGGAAUGCAUGGGUUAGGGUUAGGGUUAGGGUUGGAGCUAGGGUUAGGGUUAGGGUUAGGGUUGGAGUUAGGGUUAGUGUUGGAGCUAGGGUUAGGGUUGGGCUUGGAGCUAGGAUUUUUCUGAGUGCACUGAACCAACUCCCGAGUCUCUAGGACAUUCCUAAAAAAAUUUGAUUUUUUCCCAUAGGAAUGCAUGGGUUAGGGUUAUGGUUAGGGUUAGGGUUGGAGCUAGGGUUAGGGUUAGGGUUAGGGUUGGAGUUAGGGUUAGUGUUGGAGCUAGGGUUAGGGUUGGGCUUGGAGCUAGGAUUUUUCUGAGUGCACUGAACCAACUCCCGAGUCUCUAGGACGUUCCUAAAAAAAUUUGAUUUUUUCCCAUAGGAAUGCAUGGGUUAGGGUUAGGGUUAGGGUUGGAGCUAGGGUUAGGGUUAGGGUUAGGGUUGGAGUUAGGGUUAGUGUUGGAGCUAGGGUUAGGGUUGGGCUUGGAGCUAGGAUUUUUCUGAGUGCACUGAACCAACUCCCGAGUCUCUAGGACAUUCCUAAAAAAAUUUGAUUUUUUUCCCAUAGGAAUGCAUGGGUUAGGGUUAGGGUUAGGGUUGGAGCUAGGGUUAGGGUUAGGGUUAGGGUUGGAGUUAGGGUUAGUGUUGGAGCUAGCGUUAGGGUUGGGCUUGGAGCUAGGAUUUUUCUGAGUGCAAUGAACCAACUCCCGAGUCUCUAGGACAUUCCUAAAAAAAUUUGAUUUUUUCCCAUAGGAAUGCAUGGGUUAGGGUUAUGGUUAGGGUUAGGGUUGGAGCUAGGGUUAGGGUUAGGGUUAGGGUUUGAGUUAGGGUUAGUGUCGGAGCUAGGGUUAGGGUUGGGCUUGGAGCUAGGAUUUUUCUGAGUGCACUGAACCAACUCCCGAGUCUCUAGGACGUUCCUAAAAAAAUUGAUUUUUUCCCAUAGGAAUGCAUGGGUUAGGGUUAGGGUUAGGGUUGGACCUAGGGUUAGGGUUGGAGUUAGGGUUAGUGUUGGAGCUAGGGUUAGGGUUGGGCUUGGAGCUAGGAUUUUUCUGAGUGCACUGAACCAACUCCCGAGUCUCUAGGACAUUCCUAAAAAAAUUUGAUUUUUUCCCAUAGGAAUGCAUGGGUUAGGGUUAGGGUUAGGGUUGGAGCUAGGGUUAGGGUUAGGGUUAGGGUUGGAGUUAGGGUUAGUGUUGGAGCUAGGGUUAGGGUUGGGCUUGGAGCUAGGAUUUUUCUGAGUGCACUGAACCAACUCCCGAGUCUCUAGGACAUUCCUAAAAAAAUUGAUUUUUUCCCAUAGGAAUGCAUGGGUUAGGGUUAUGGUUAGGGUUAGGGUUGGAGCUAGGGUUAGGGUUAGGGUUAGGGUUGGAGUUAGGGUUAGUGUUGGAGCUAGGGUUAGGGUUGGGCUUGGAGCUAGGAUUUUUCUGAGUGCACUGAACCAACUCCCGAGUCUCUAGGACGUUCCUAAAAAAAUUUGAUUUUUUCCAAUAGGAAUGCAUGGGUUAGGGUUAGGGUUAGGGUUGGAGCUAGGGUUAGGGUUAGGGUUAGGGUUGGAGUUAGGGUUAGGGUUGGAGCUAGGUUUAGGGUUGGGCUUGGAGCUAGGAUUUUUCUGAGUGCACUGAACCAACUCCCGAGUCUCUAGGACAUUCCUAAAAAAAUUUGAUUUUUUCCCAUAGGAAUGCAUGGGUUAGGGUUAGGGUUAGGGUUGGAGCUAGGGUUAGGGUUAGGGUUAGGGUUGGAGUUAGGGUUAGUGUUGGAGCUAGGGUUAGGGUUGGGCUUGGAGCUAGGAUUUUUCUGAGUGCACUGAACCAACUCCCGAGUCUCUAGGACAUUCCUAAAAAAAUUUGAUUUUUUCCCAUAGGAAUGCAUGGGUUAGGGUUAUGGUUAGGGUUAGGGUUGGAGCUAGGGUUAGGGUUAGGGUUAGGGUUGGAGUUAGGGUUAGUGUUGGAGCUAGGGUUAGGGUUGGGCUUGGAGCUAGGAUUUUUCUGAGUGCACUGAACCAACUCCCGAGUCUCUAGGACAUUCCUAAAAAAAUUUGAUUUUUUCCCAUAGGAAUGCAUGGGUUAGGGUUAUGGUUAGGGUUAGGGUUGGAGCUAGGGUUAGGGUUAGGGUUAGGGUUGGAGUUAGGGUUAGUGUUGGAGCUAGGGUUAGGGUUGGGCUUGGAGCUAGGAUUUUUCUGAGUGCACUGAACCAACUCCCGAGUCUCUAGGACAUUCCUAAAAAAAUUUGAUUUUUUCCCAUAGGAAUGCAUGGGUUAGGGUUAUGGUUAGGGUUAGGGUUGGAGCUAGGGUUAGGGUUAGGGUUGGAGUUAGGGUUAGUGUUGGAGCUAGGGUUAGGGUUGGGCUUGGAGCUAGGAUUUUUCUGAGUGCACUGAACCAACUCCCGAGUCUCUAGGAUGUUCCUAAAAAAAUUUGAUUUUUUCCCAUAGGAAUGCAUGGGUUAGGGUUAGGGUUAGGGUUGGAGCUAGGGUUAGGGUUAGGGUUAGGGUUGGAGUUAGGAUUAGUGUUGGAGCUAGGGUUAGGGUUGGGCUUGGAGCUAGGGUUUUUCUGAGUGCACUGAACCAACUCCCGAGUCUCUAGGACAUUCCUAAAGAAAUUUGAUUUUUUCCCAUAGGAAUGCAUGGGUUAGGGUUAGGGUUAGGGUUGGAGCUAGGGUUAGGGUUAGGGUUAGGGUUGGAGUUAGGGUUAGUGUUGGAGCUAGGGUUAGGGUUGGGCUUGGAGCUAGGAUUUUUCUGAGUGCACUGAACCAACUCCCGAGUCUCUAGGACAUUCCUAAAAAAAUUUGAUUUUUUCCCAUAGGAAUGCAUGGGUUAGGGUUAGGGUUAGGGUUAGGGUUGGAGCUAGGGUUAGGGUUAGGGUUGGAGUUAGGGUUAGUGUUGGAGCUAGGGUUAGGGUUGGGCUUGGAGCUAGGAUUUUUCUGAGUGCACUGAACCAACUCCCGAGUCUCUAGGAUGUUCCUAAAAAAAUUUGAUUUUUUCCCAUAGGAAUGCAUGGGUUAGGGUUAGGGUUAGGGUUGGAGCUAGGGUUAGGGUUAGGGUUAGGGUUGGAGUUAGGAUUAGUGUUGGAGCUAGGGUUAGGGUUGGGCUUGGAGCUAGGAUUUUUCUGAGUGCACUGAACCAACUCCCGAGUCUCUAGGACAUUCCUAAAGAAAUUUGAUUUUUUCCCAUAGGAAUGCAUGGGUUAGGGUUAGGGUUAGGGUUGGAGCUAGGGUUAGGGUUAGGGUUAGGGUUGGAGUUAGGGUUAGUGUUGGAGCUAGGGUUAGGGUUGGGCUUGGAGCUAGGAUUUUUCUGAGUGCAAUGAACCAACUCCCGAGUCUCUAGGACAUUCCUAAAAAAAUUUGAUUUUUUCCCAUAGGAAUGCAUGGGUUAGGGUUAUGGUUAGGGUUAGGGUUGGAGCUAGGGUUAGGGUUAGGGUUAGGGUUGGAGUUAGGGUUAGUGUUGGAGCUAGGGUUAGGGUUGGGCUUGGAGCUAGGAUUUUUCUGAGUGCACUGAACCAACUCCCGAGUCUCUAGGACGUUCCUAAAAAAAUUUGAUUUUUUCCCAUAGGAAUGCAUGGGUUAGGGUUAGGGUUAGGGUUGGAGCUAGGGUUAGGGUUAGGGUUAGGGUUGGAGUUAGGGUUAGUGUUGGAGCUAGGGUUAGGGUUGGGCUUGGAGCUAGGAUUUUUCUGAGUGCACUGAACCAACUCCCGAGUCUCUAGGACAUUCCUAAAAAAAUUUGAUUUUUUUCCCAUAGGAAUGCAUGGGUUAGGGUUAGGGUUAGGGUUGGAGCUAGGGUUAGGGUUAGGGUUAGGGUUGGAGUUAGGGUUAGUGUUGGAGCUAGCGUUAGGGUUGGGCUUGGAGCUAGGAUUUUUCUGAGUGCAAUGAACCAACUCCCGAGUCUCUAGGACAUUCCUAAAAAAAUUUGAUUUUUUCCCAUAGGAAUGCAUGGGUUAGGGUUAUGGUUAGGGUUAGGGUUGGAGCUAGGGUUAGGGUUAGGGUUAGGGUUGGAGUUAGGGUUAGGGUUGGAGCUAGGUUUAGGGUUGGGCUUGGAGCUAGGAUUUUUCUGAGUGCACUGAACCAACUCCCGAGUCUCUAGGACAUUCCUAAAAAAAUUUGAUUUUUUCCCAUAGGAAUGCAUGGGUUAGGGUUAGGGUUAGGGUUGGAGCUAGGGUUAGGGUUAGGGUUAGGGUUGGAGUUAGGGUUAGUGUUGGAGCUAGGGUUAGGGUUGGGCUUGGAGCUAGGAUUUUUCUGAGUGCACUGAACCAACUCCCGAGUCUCUAGGACAUUCCUAAAGAAAUUUGAUUUUUUCCCAUAGGAAUGCAUGGGUUAGGGUUAGGGUUAGGGUUGGAGCUAGGGUUAGGGUUAGGGUUAGGGUUGGAGUUAGGGUUAGUGUUGGAGCUAGGGUUAGGGUUGGGCUUGGAGCUAGGAUUUUUCUGAGUGCACUGAACCAACUCCCGAGUCUCUAGGACAUUCCUAAAAAAAUUUGAUUUUUUCCCAUAGGAAUGCAUGGGUUAGGGUUAGGGUUAGGGUUAGGGUUGGAGCUAGGGUUAGGGUUAGGGUUAGGGUUGGAGUUAGGGUUAGUGUUGGAGCUAGGGUUAGGGUUGGGCUUGGAGCUAGGAUUUUUCUGAGUGCACUGAACCAACUCCCGAGUCUCUAGGAUGUUCCUAAAAAAAUUUGAUUUUUUCCCAUAGGAAUGCAUGGGUUAGGGUUAGGGUUAGGGUUGGAGCUAGGGUUAGGGUUAGGGUUAGGGUUGGAGUUAGGGUUAGUGUUGGAGCUAGGGUUAGGGUUGGGCUUGGAGCUAGGAUUUUUCUGAGUGCACUGAACCAACUCCCGAGUCUCUAGGACAUUCCUAAAAAAAUUUGAUUUUUUCCCAUAGGAAUGCAUGGGUUAGGGUUAGGGUUAGGGUUGGAGCUAGGGUUAGGGUUAGGGUUAGGGUUGGAGUUAGGGUUAGUGUUGGAGCUAGGGUUAGGGUUGGGCUUGGAGCUAGGAUUUUUCUGAGUGCACUGAACCAACUCCCGAGUCUCUAGGACAUUCCUAAAAAAUUUGAUUUUUUCCCAUAGGAAUGCAUGGGUUAGUUAUGGUUAGGGUUAGGGUUGGAGCUAGGGUUAGGGUUAGGGUUAGGGUUGGAGUUAGGGUUAGUGUUGGAGCUAGGGUUAGGGUUGGGCUUGGAGCUAGGAUUUUUCUGAGUGCACUGAACCAACUCCCGAGUCUCUAGGACAUUCCUAAAAAAAUUUGAUUUUUUCCCAUAGGAAUGCAUGGGUUAGGGUUAGGGUUAGGGUUGGAGCUAGGGUUAGGGUUAGGGUUAGGGUUGGAGUUAGGGUUAGUGUUGGAGCUAGGGUUAGGGUUGGGCUUGGAGCUAGGAUUUUUCUGAGUGCACUGAACCAACUCCCGAGUCUCUAGGAUGUUCCUAAAAAAAUUUGAUUUUUUCCCAUAGGAAUGCAUGGGUUAGGGUUAGGGUUAGGGUUGGAGCUAGGGUUAGGGUUAGGGUUAGGGUUGGAGUUAGGGUUAGUGUUGGAGCUAGGGUUAGGGUUGGGCUUGGAGCUAGGAUUUUUCUGAGUGCACUGAACCAACUCCCGAGUCUCUAGGACAUUCCUAAAAAAUUUGAUUUUUUCCCAUAGGAAUGCAUGGGUUAGGGUUAGGGUUAGGGUUGGAGCUAGGGUUAGGGUUAGGGUUAGGGUUGGAGUUAGGGUUAGUGUUGGAGCUAGGGUUAGGGUUGGGCUUGGAGCUAGGAUUUUUCUGAGUGCACUGAACCAACUCCCGAGUCUCUAGGACAUUCCUAAAAAAAUUUGAUUUUUUCCCAUAGGAAUGCAUGGGUUAGGGUUAUGGUUAGGGUUAGGGUUGGAGCUAGGGUUAGGGUUAGGGUUAGGGUUGGAGUUAGGGUUAGUGUUGGAGCUAGGGUUAGGGUUGGGCUUGGAGCUAGGAUUUUUCUGAGUGCACUGAACCAACUCCCGAGUCUCUAGGACGUUCCUAAAAAAAUUUGAUUUUUUCCCAUAGGAAUGCAUGGGUUAGGGUUAGGGUUAGGGUUGGAGCUAGGGUUAGGGUUAGGGUUAGGGUUGGAGUUAGGGUUAGUGUUGGAGCUAGGGUUAGGGUUGGGCUUGGAGCUAGGAUUUUUCUGAGUGCACUGAACCAACUCCCGAGUCUCUAGGACAUUCCUAAAAAAAUUUGAUUUUUUUCCCAUAGGAAUGCAUGGGUUAGGGUUAGGGUUAGGGUUGGAGCUAGGGUUAGGGUUAGGGUUAGGGUUGGAGUUAGGGUUAGUGUUGGAGCUAGCGUUAGGGUUGGGCUUGGAGCUAGGAUUUUUCUGAGUGCAAUGAACCAACUCCCGAGUCUCUAGGACAUUCCUAAAAAAAUUUGAUUUUUUCCCAUAGGAAUGCAUGGGUUAGGGUUAUGGUUAGGGUUAGGGUUGGAGCUAGGGUUAGGGUUAGGGUUAGGGUUGGAGUUAGGGUUAGUGUCGGAGCUAGGGUUAGGGUUGGGCUUGGAGCUAGGAUUUUUCUGAGUGCACUGAACCAACUCCCGAGUCUCUAGGACAUUCCUAAAAAAAUUUGAUUUUUUCCCAUAGGAAUGCAUGGGUUAGGGUUAUGGUUAGGGUUAGGGUUGGAGCUAGGGUUAGGGUUAGGGUUAGGGUUGGAGUUAGGGUUAGUGUCGGAGCUAGGGUUAGGGUUGGGCUUGGAGCUAGGAUUUUUCUGAGUGCACUGAACCAACUCCCGAGUCUCUAGGACAUUCCUAAAGAAAUUUGAUUUUUUCCCAUAGGAAUGCAUGGGUUAGGGUUAGGGUUAGGGUUGGAGCUAGGGUUAGGGUUAGGGUUAGGGUUGGAGUUAGGGUUAGUGUUGGAGCUAGGGUUAGGGUUGGGCUUGGAGCUAGGAUUUUUCUGAGUGCACUGAACCAACUCCCGAGUCUCUAGGACAUUCCUAAAAAAAUUUGAUUUUUUCCCAUAGGAAUGCAUGGGUUAGGGUUAGGGUUAGGGUUAGGGUUGGAGCUAGGGUUAGGGUUAGGGUUGGAGUUAGGGUUAGUGUUGGAGCUAGGGUUAGGGUUGGGCUUGGAGCUAGGAUUUUUCUGAGUGCACUGAACCAACUCCCGAGUCUCUAGGAUGUUCCUAAAAAAAUUUGAUUUUUUCCCAUAGGAAUGCAUGGGUUAGGGUUAGGGUUAGGGUUGGAGCUAGGGUUAGGGUUAGGGUUAGGGUUGGAGUUAGGAUUAGUGUUGGAGCUAGGGUUAGGGUUGGGCUUGGAGCUAGGAUUUUUCUGAGUGCACUGAACCAACUCCCGAGUCUCUAGGACAUUCCUAAAGAAAUUUGAUUUUUUCCCAUAGGAAUGCAUGGGUUAGGGUUAGGGUUAGGGUUGGAGCUAGGGUUAGGGUUAGGGUUAGGGUUGGAGUUAGGGUUAGUGUUGGAGCUAGGGUUAGGGUUGGGCUUGGAGCUAGGAUUUUUCUGAGUGCAAUGAACCAACUCCCGAGUCUCUAGGACAUUCCUAAAAAAAUUUGAUUUUUUCCCAUAGGAAUGCAUGGGUUAGGGUUAUGGUUAGGGUUAGGGUUGGAGCUAGGGUUAGGGUUAGGGUUAGGGUUGGAGUUAGGGUUAGUGUUGGAGCUAGGGUUAGGGUUGGGCUUGGAGCUAGGAUUUUUCUGAGUGCACUGAACCAACUCCCGAGUCUCUAGGACGUUCCUAAAAAAAUUUGAUUUUUUCCCAUAGGAAUGCAUGGGUUAGGGUUAGGGUUAGGGUUGGAGCUAGGGUUAGGGUUAGGGUUAGGGUUGGAGUUAGGGUUAGUGUUGGAGCUAGGGUUAGGGUUGGGCUUGGAGCUAGGAUUUUUCUGAGUGCACUGAACCAACUCCCGAGUCUCUAGGACAUUCCUAAAAAAAUUUGAUUUUUUUCCCAUAGGAAUGCAUGGGUUAGGGUUAGGGUUAGGGUUGGAGCUAGGGUUAGGGUUAGGGUUAGGGUUGGAGUUAGGGUUAGUGUUGGAGCUAGCGUUAGGGUUGGGCUUGGAGCUAGGAUUUUUCUGAGUGCAAUGAACCAACUCCCGAGUCUCUAGGACAUUCCUAAAAAAAUUUGAUUUUUUCCCAUAGGAAUGCAUGGGUUAGGGUUAUGGUUAGGGUUAGGGUUGGAGCUAGGGUUAGGGUUAGGGUUAGGGUUUGAGUUAGGGUUAGUGUCGGAGCUAGGGUUAGGGUUGGGCUUGGAGCUAGGAUUUUUCUGAGUGCACUGAACCAACUCCCGAGUCUCUAGGACAUUCCUAAAAAAAUUUGAUUUUUUCCCAUAGGAAUGCAUGGGUUAGGGUUAUGGUUAGGGUUAGGGUUGGAGCUAGGGUUAGGGUUAGGGUUAGGGUUGGAGUUAGGGUUAGUGUUGGAGCUAGGGUUAGGGUUGGGCUUGGAGCUAGGAUUUUUCUGAGUGCACUGAACCAACUCCCGAGUCUCUAGGACGUUCCUAAAAAAAUUGAUUUUUUCCCAUAGGAAUGCAUGGGUUAGGGUUAGGGUUAGGGUUGGACCUAGGGUUAGGGUUGGAGUUAGGGUUAGUGUUGGAGCUAGGGUUAGGGUUGGGCUUGGAGCUAGGAUUUUUCUGAGUGCACUGAACCAACUCCCGAGUCUCUAGGACAUUCCUAAAAAAACUUGAUUUUUUCCCAUAGGAAUGCAUGGGUUAGGGUUAGGGUUAGGGUUGGAGCUAGGGUUAGGGUUAGGGUUAGGGUUGGAGUUAGGGUUAGUGUUGGAGCUAGGGUUAGGGUUGGGCUUGGAGCUAGGAUUUUUCUGAGUGCACUGAACCAACUCCCGAGUCUCUAGGACAUUCCUAAAAAAAAUUGAUUUUUUCCCAUAGGAAUGCAUGGGUUAGGGUUAUGGUUAGGGUUAGGGUUGGAGCUAGGGUUAGGGUUAGGGUUAGGGUUGGAGUUAGGGUUAGUGUUGGAGCUAGGGUUAGGGUUGGGCUUGGAGCUAGGAUUUUUCUGAGUGCACUGAACCAACUCCCGAGUCUCUAGGACGUUCCUAAAAAAAUUUGAUUUUUUCCCAUAGGAAUGCAUGGGUUAGGGUUAGGGUUAGGGUUGGAGCUAGGGUUAGGGUUAGGGUUAGGGUUGGAGUUAGGGUUAGUGUUGGAGCUAGGGUUAGGGUUGGGCUUGGAGCUAGGAUUUUUCUGAGUGCACUGAACCAACUCCCGAGUCUCUAGGACAUUCCUAAAAAAAUUUGAUUUUUUCCAAUAGGAAUGCAUGGGUUAGGGUUAGGGUUAGGGUUGGAGCUAGGGUUAGGGUUAGGGUUAGGGUUGGAGUUAGGGUUAGGGUUGGAGCUAGGGUUAGGGUUGGGCUUGGAGCUAGGAUUUUUCUGAGUGCACUGAACCAACUCCCGAGUCUCUAGGACAUUCCUAAAAAAAUUUGAUUUUUUCCCAUAGGAAUGCAUGGGUUAGGGUUAGGGUUAGGGUUGGAGCUAGGGUUAGGGUUAGGGUUAGGGUUGGAGUUAGGGUUAGUGUUGGAGCUAGGGUUAGGGUUGGGCUUGGAGCUAGGAUUUUUCUGAGUGCACUGAACCAACUCCCGAGUCUCUAGGACAUUCCUAAAAAAAAUUGAAUUUUUCCCAUAGGAAUGCAUGGGUUAGGGUUAUGGUUAGGGUUAGGGUUGGAGCUAGGGUUAGGGUUAGGGUUAGGGUUGGAGUUAGGGUUAGUGUUGGAGCUAGGGUUAGGGUUGGGCUUGGAGCUAGGAUUUUUCUGAGUGCACUGAACCAACUCCCGAGUCUCUAGGACAUUCCUAAAAAAAUUUGAUUUUUUCCCAUAGGAAUGCAUGGGUUAGGGUUAUGGUUAGUGUUAGGGUUGGAGCUAGGGUUAGGGUUAGGGUUAGGGUUGGAGUUAGGGUUAGUGUUGGAGCUAGGGUUAGGGUUGGGCUUGGAGCUAGGACUUUUCUGAGUGCACUGAACCAACUCCCGAGUCUCUAGGACAUUCCUAAAAAAAUUUGAUUUUUUCCCAUAGGAAUGCAUGGGUUAGGGUUAGGGUUAGGGUUGGAGCUAGGGUUAGGGUUAGGGUUAGGGUUGGAGUUAGGGUUAGUGUUGGAGCUAGGGUUAGGGUUGGGCUUGGAGCUAGGAUUUUUCUGAGUGCACUGAACCAACUCCCGAGUCUCUAGGACAUUCCUAAAAAAAUUUGAUUUUUUUCCCAUAGGAAUGCAUGGGUUAGGGUUAUGGUUAGGGUUAGGGUUGGAGCUAGGGUUAGGGUUAGGGUUGGAGUUAGGGUUAGUGUUGGAGCUAGGGUUAGGGUUGGGCUUGGAGCUAGGAUUUUUCUGAGUGCACUGAACCAACUCCCGAGUCUCUAGGAUGUUCCUAAAAAAUUUUGAUUUUUUCCCAUAGGAAUGCAUGGGUUAGGGUUAGGGUUAGGGUUGGAGCUAGGGUAAGGGUUAGGGUUAGGGUUGGAGUUAGGAUUAGUGUUGGAGCUAGGGUUAGGGUUGGGCUUGGAGCUAGGAUUUUUCUGAGUGCACUGAACCAACUCCCGAGUCUCUAGGACAUUCCUAAAGAAAUUUGAUUUUUUCCCAUAGGAAUGCAUGGGUUAGGGUUAGGGUUAGGGUUGGAGCUAGGGUUAGGGUUAGGGUUAGGGUUGGAGUUAGGGUUAGUGUUGGAGCUAGGGUUAGGGUUGGGCUUGGAGCUAGGAUUUUUCUGAGUGCACUGAACCAACUCCCGAGUCUCUAGGACAUUCCUAAAAAAAUUUGAUUUUUUCCCAUAGGAAUGCAUGGGUUAGGGUUAUGGUUAGGGUUAGGGUUGGAGCUAGGGUUAGGGUUAGGGUUGGAGUUAGGGUUAGUGUUGGAGCUAGGGUUAGGGUUGGGCUUGGAGCUAGGAUUUUUCUGAGUGCACUGAACCAACUCCCGAGUCUCUAGGAUGUUCCUAAAAAAAUUUGAUUUUUUCCCAUAGGAAUGCAUGGGUUAGGGUUAGGGUUAGGGUUGGAGCUAGGGUUAGGGUUAGGGUUAGGGUUGGAGUUAGGAUUAGUGUUGGAGCUAGGGUUAGGGUUGGGCUUGGAGCUAGGAUUUUUCUGAGUGCACUGAACCAACUCCCGAGUCUCUAGGACAUUCCUAAAGAAAUUUGAUUUUUUCCCAUAGGAAUGCAUGGGUUAGGGUUAGGGUUAGGGUUGGAGCUAGGGUUAGGGUUAGGGUUAGGGUUGGAGUUAGGGUUAGUGUUGGAGCUAGGGUUAGGGUUGGGCUUGGAGCUAGGAUUUUUCUGAGUGCACUGAACCAACUCCCGAGUCUCUAGGACAUUCCUAAAAAAAUUUGAUUUUUUCCCAUAGGAAUGCAUGGGUUAGGGUUAUGGUUAGGGUUAGGGUUGGAGCUAGGGUUAGGGUUAGGGUUAGGGUUGGAGUUAGGGUUAGUGUUGGAGCUAGGGUUAGGGUUGGGCUUGGAGCUAGGAUUUUUCUGAGUGCACUGAACCAACUCCCGAGUCUCUAGGACGUUCCUAAAAAAAUUUGAUUUUUUCCCAUAGGAAUGCAUGGGUUAGGGUUAGGGUUAGGGUUGGAGCUAGGGUUAGGGUUAGGGUUAGGGUUGGAGUUAGGGUUAGUGUUGGAGCUAGGGUUAGGGUUGGGCUUGGAGCUAGGAUUUUUCUGAGUGCACUGAACCAACUCCCGAGUCUCUAGGACAUUCCUAAAAAAAUUUGAUUUUUUUCCCAUAGGAAUGCAUGGGUUAGGGUUAGGGUUAGGGUUGGAGCUAGGGUUAGGGUUAGGGUUAGGGUUGGAGUUAGGGUUAGUGUUGGAGCUAGCGUUAGGGUUGGGCUUGGAGCUAGGAUUUUUCUGAGUGCAAUGAACCAACUCCCGAGUCUCUAGGACAUUCCUAAAAAAAUUUGAUUUUUUCCCAUAGGAAUGCAUGGGUUAGGGUUAUGGUUAGGGUUAGGGUUGGAGCUAGGGUUAGGGUUAGGGUUAGGGUUUGAGUUAGGGUUAGUGUCGGAGCUAGGGUUAGGGUUGGGCUUGGAGCUAGGAUUUUUCUGAGUGCACUGAACCAACUCCCGAGUCUCUAGGACGUUCCUAAAAAAAUUGAUUUUUUCCCAUAGGAAUGCAUGGGUUAGGGUUAGGGUUAGGGUUGGACCUAGGGUUAGGGUUGGAGUUAGGGUUAGUGUUGGAGCUAGGGUUAGGGUUGGGCUUGGAGCUAGGAUUUUUCUGAGUGCACUGAACCAACUCCCGAGUCUCUAGGACAUUCCUAAAAAAAUUUGAUUUUUUCCCAUAGGAAUGCAUGGGUUAGGGUUAGGGUUAGGGUUGGAGCUAGGGUUAGGGUUAGGGUUAGGGUUGGAGUUAGGGUUAGUGUUGGAGCUAGGGUUAGGGUUGGGCUUGGAGCUAGGAUUUUUCUGAGUGCACUGAACCAACUCCCGAGUCUCUAGGACAUUCCUAAAAAAAAUUGAUUUUUUCCCAUAGGAAUGCAUGGGUUAGGGUUAUGGUUAGGGUUAGGGUUGGAGCUAGGGUUAGGGUUAGGGUUAGGGUUGGAGUUAGGGUUAGUUUUGGAGCUAGGGUUAGGGUUGGGCUUGGAGCUAGGAUUUUUCUGAGUGCACUGAACCAACUCCCGAGUCUCUAGGACGUUCCUAAAAAAUUUGAUUUUUUCCAAUAGGAAUGCAUGGGUUAGGGUUAGGGUUAGGGUUGGAGCUAGGGUUAGGGUUAGGGUUAGGGUUGGAGUUAGGGUUAGGGUUGGAGCUAGGUUUAGGGUUGGGCUUGGAGCUAGGAUUUUUCUGAGUGCACUGAACCAACUCCCGAGUCUCUAGGACAUUCCUAAAAAAAUUUGAUUUUUUCCCAUAGGAAUGCAUGGGUUAGGGUUAGGGUUAGGGUUGGAGCUAGGGUUAGGGUUAGGGUUAGGGUUGGAGUUAGGGUUAGUGUUGGAGCUAGGGUUAGGGUUGGGCUUGGAGCUAGGAUUUUUCUGAGUGCACUGAACCAACUCCCGAGUCUCUAGGACAUUCCUAAAAAAAUUUGAUUUUUUCCCAUAGGAAUGCAUGGGUUAGGGUUAUGGUUAGGGUUAGGGUUGGAGCUAGGGUUAGGGUUAGGGUUAGGGUUGGAGUUAGGGUUAGUGUUGGAGCUAGGGUUAGGGUUGGGCUUGGAGCUAGGAUUUUUCUGAGUGCACUGAACCAACUCCCGAGUCUCUAGGACAUUCCUAAAAAAAUUUGAUUUUUUCCCAUAGGAAUGCAUGGGUUAGGGUUAUGGUUAGGGUUAGGGUUGGAGCUAGGGUUAGGGUUAGGGUUAGGGUUGGAGUUAGGGUUAGUGUUGGAGCUAGGGUUAGGGUUGGGCUUGGAGCUAGGAUUUUUCUGAGUGCACUGAACCAACUCCCGAGUCUCUAGGACAUUCCUAAAAAAAUUUGAUUUUUUUCCCAUAGGAAUGCAUGGGUUAGGGUUAGGGUUAGGGUUGGAGCUAGGGUUAGGGUUAGGGUUAGGGUUGGAGUUAGGGUUAGUGUUGGAGCUAGGGUUAGGGUUGGGCUUGGAGCUAGGAUUUUUCUGAGUGCACUGAACCAACUCCCGAGUCUCUAGGACGUUCCUAAAAAAUUUUGAUUUUUUUCCCAUAGGAAUGCAUGGGUUAGGGCUAGUGUUAGGGUUGGAGCUAGGGUUAGGGUUAGGGUUAGGGUUAGGGUUGGAGUUAGGGUUAGUGUUGGAGCUAGGGUUAGGGUUGGGCUUGGAGCUAGGAUUUUUCUGAGUGCACUGAACCAACUCCCGAGUCUCUAGGACAUUCCUAAAAAAAUUUGAUUUUUUCCCAUAGGAAUGCAUGGGUUAGGGUUAGGGUUAGGGUUGGAGCUAGGGUUAGGGUUAGGGUUAGGGUUGGAGUUAGGGUUAGUGUUGGAGCUAGGGUUAGGGUUGGGCUUGGAGCUAGGAUUUUUCUGAGUGCACUGAACCAACUCCCGAGUCUCUAGGACGUUCCUUAAAAAAAUUUGAUUUUUUCCCAUAGGAAUGCAUGGGUUAGGGUUAGGGUUAGGGUUGGAGCUAGGGUUAGGGUUAGGGUUAGGGUUGGAGUUAGGGUUAGUGUUGGAGCUAGGGUUAGGGUUGGGCUUGGAGCUAGGACUUUUCUGAGUGCACUGAACCAACUCCCGAGUCUCUAGGACAUUCCUAAAAAAAUUAGAUUUUUUCCCAUAGGAAUGCAUGGGUUAGGGUUAGGGUUAGGGUUGGAGCUAGGGUUAGGGUUAGGGUUAGGGUUGGAGUUAGGGUUAGUGUUGGAGCUAGGGUUAGGGUUGGGCUUGGAGCUAGGAUUUUUCUGAGUGCACUGAACCAACUCCCGAGUCUCUAGGACAUUCUUAAAAAAAUUUGAUUUUUUCCCAUAGGAAUGCAUGGGUUAGGGUUAUGGUUAGGGUUAGGGUUGGAGCUAGGGUUAGGGUUAGGGUUAGGGUUGGAGUUAGGGUUAGUGUUGGAGCUAGGGUUAGGGUUGGGCUUGGAGCUAGGAUUUUUCUGAGUGCACUGAACCAACUCCCGAGUCUCUAGGACGUUCCUAAAAAAAUUUGAUUUUUUCCCAUAGGAAUGCAUUGGUUAGGGUUAGGGUUAGGGUUGGAGCUAGGGUUAGGGUUAGGGUUAGGGUUGGAGUUAGGGUUAGUGUUGGAGCUAGGGUUAGGGUUGGGCUUGGAGCUAGGAUUUUUCUGAGUGCACUGAACCAACUCCCGAGUCUCUAGGACAUUCCUAAAAAUAUUUGAUUUUUUCCCAUAGGAAUGCAUGGGUUAGGGUUAGGGUUAGGGUUGGAGCUAGGGUUAGGGUUAGGGUUGGAGUUAGGGUUAGUGUUGGAGCUAGGGUUAGGGUUGGGCUUGGAGCUAGGAUUUUUCUGAGUGCACUGAACCAACUCCCGAGUCUCUAGGACGUUCCUAAAAAAAUUUGAUUUUUUUCCCAUAGGAAUGCAUGGGUUAGGGUUAGGGUAAGGGUUGGAGCUAGGGUUCGGGUUAGGGUUAGGGUUAGGGUUGGAGUUAGGGUUAGUGUUGGAGCUAGGGUUAGGGUUGGGCUUGGAGCUAGGAUUUUUCUGAGUGCACUGAACCAACUCCCGAGUCUCUAGGACAUUCCUAAAAAAAUUUGAUUUUUUCCCAUAGGAAUGCAUGGGUUAGGGUUAGGGUUAGGGUUGGAGCUAGGGUUAGGGUUAGGGUUAGGGUUGGAGUUAGGGUUAGUGUUGGAGCUAGGGUUAGGGUUGGGCUUGGAGCUAGGAUUUUUCUGAGUGCACUGAACCAACUCCCGAGUCUCUAGGACGUUCCUUAAAAAAAUUUGAUUUUUUCCCAUAGGAAUGCAUGGGUUAGGGUUAUGGUUAGGGUUAGGGUUGGAGCUAGGGUUAGGGUUAGGGUUAGGGUUGGAGUUAGGGUUAGUGUUGGAGCUAGGGUUAGGGUUGGGCUUGGAGCUAGGAUUUUUCUGAGUGCAAUGAACCAACUCCCAAGUCUCUUGGACGUUCCUAAAAAAAAUUUGAUUUUUUCCCAUAGGAAUGCAUGGGUUAGGGUUAGGGUUAGGGUUGGAGCUAGGGUUAGGGUUAGGGUUAGGGUUAGGGUUGGAGUUAGGGUUAGUGUUGGAGCUAGGGUUAGGGUUGGGCUUGGAGCUAGGAUUUUUCUGAGUGCAAUGAACCAACUCCCGAGUCUCUAGGACGUUCCUAAAAAAAUUUGAUUUUUUCCCAUAGGAAUGCAUGGGUUAGGGUUAGGGUUAGGGUUGGAGCUAGGGUUAGGGUUAGGGUUAGGGUUGGAGUUAGGGUUAGUGUUGGAGCUAGGGUUAGGGUUGGGCUUGGAGCUAGGAUUUUUCUGAGUGCACUGAACCAACUCCCGAGUCUCUAGGACGUUCCUAAAAAAAUUUGAUUUUUUUCCCAUAGGAAUGCAUGGGUUAGGGUUAGGGUUAGGGUUGGAGCUAGGGUUAGGGUUAGGGUUAGGGUUGGAGUUAGGGUUAGUGUUGGAGCUAGGGUUAGGGUUGGGCUUGGAGCUAGGAUUUUUCUGAGUGCACUGAACCAACUCCCGAGUCUCUAGGACAUUCCUAAAAAAAUUUGAUUUUUUCCCAUAGGAAUGCAUGGGUUAGGGUUAGGGUUAGGGUUAGGGUUGGAGCUAGGGUUAGGGUUAGGGUUAGGGUUGGAGUUAGGGUUAGUGUUGGAGCUAGGGUUAGGGUUGGGCUUGGAGCUAGGAUUUUUCUGAGUGCACUGAACCAACUCCCGAGUCUCUAGGACAUUCCUAAAAAAUUUGAUUUUUUCCCAUAGGAAUGCAUGGGUUAGGGUUAUGGUUAGGGUUAGGGUUGGAGCUAGGGUUAGGGUUAGGGUUAGGGUUGGAGUUAGGGUUAGUGUUGGAGCUAGGGUUAGGGUUGGGCUUGGAGCUAGGAUUUUUCUGAGUGCACUGAACCAACUCCCGAGUCUCUAGGACAUUCCUAAAAAAAUUUGAUUUUUUCCCAUAGGAAUGCAUGGGUUAGGGUUAGGGUUAGGGUUGGAGCUAGGGUUAGGGUUAGGGUUAGGGUUGGAGUUAGGGUUAGUGUUGGAGCUAGGGUUAGGGUUGGGCUUGGAGCUAGGAUUUUUCUGAGUGCACUGAACCAACUCCCGAGUCUCUAGGACAUUCCUAAAAAAAUUUGAUUUUUUCCCAUAGGAAUGCAUGGGUUAGGGUUAUGGUUAGGGUUAGGGUUGGAGCUAGGGUUAGGGUUAGGGUUAGGGUUGGAGUUAGGGUUAGUGUUGGAGCUAGGGUUAGGGUUGGGCUUGGAGCUAGGAUUUUUCUGAGUGCACUGAACCAACUCCCGAGUCUCUAGGACGUUCCUAAAAAAAUUUGAUUUUUUCCCAUAGGAAUGCAUGGGUUAGGGUUAUGGUUAGGGUUAGGGUUGGAGCUAGGGUUAGGGUUAGGGUUAGGGUUGGAGUUAGGGUUAGUGUUGGAGCUAGGGUUAGGGUUGGGCUUGGAGCUAGGAUUUUUCUGAGUGCACUGAACCAACUCCCGAGUCUCUAGGACAUUCCUAAAAAAAUUUGAUUUUUUCCCAUAGGAAUGCAUGGGUUAGGGUUAUGGUUAGGGUUAGGGUUGGAGCUAGGGUUAGGGUUAGGGUUAGGGUUGGAGUUAGGGUUAGUGUUGGAGCUAGGGUUAGGGUUGGGCUUGGAGCUAGGAUUUUUCUGAGUGCACUGAACCAACUCCCGAGUCUCUAGGACAUUCCUAAAAAAAUUUGAUUUUUUCCCAUAGGAAUGCAUGGGUUAGGGUUAGGGUUAGGGUUGGAGCUAGGGUUAGGGUUAGGGUUAGGGUUGGAGUUAGGGUUAGUGUUGGAGCUAGGGUUAGGGUUAGGGUUAGGGUUGGAGUUAGGGUUAGUGUUGGAGCUAGGGUUAGGGUUGGGCUUGGAGCUAGGAUUUUUCUGAGUGCACUGAACCAACUCCCGAGUCUCUAGGACGUUCCUAAAAAAAUUUGAUUUUUUCCCAUAGGAAUGCAUGGGUUAGGGUUAGGGUUAGGGUUGGAGCUAGGGUUAGGGUUAGGGUUAGGGUUGGAGUUAGGGUUAGUGUUGGAGCUAGGGUUAGGGUUGGGCUUGGAGCUAGGAUUUUUCUGAGUGCACUGAACCAACUCCCGAGUCUCUAGGACAUUCCUAAAAAAAUUUGAUUUUUUCCCAUAGGAAUGCAUGGGUUAGGGUUAUGGUUAGGGUUAGGGUUUGAGCUAGGGUUAGGGUUAGGGUUAGGGUUGGAGUUAGGGUUAGUGUUGGAGCUAGGGUUAGGGUUGGGCUUGGAGCUAGGAUUUUUCUGAGUGCACUGAACCAACUCCCGAGUCUCUAGGAUGUUCCUAAAAAAAUUUGAUUUUUUCCCAUAGGAAUGCAUGGGUUAGGGUUAGGGUUAGGGUUGGAGCUAGGGUUAGGGUUAGGGUUAGGGUUGGAGUUAGGGUUAGUGUUGGAGCUAGGGUUAGGGUUGGGCUUGGAGCUAGGAUUUUUCUGAGUGCACUGAACCAACUCCCGAGUCUCUAGGACGUUCCUAAAAAAAUUUGAUUUUUUCCCAUAGGAAUGCAUGGGUUAGGGUUAGGGUUAGGGUUGGAGCUAGGGUUAGGGUUAGGGUUAGGGUUGGAGUUAGGGUUAGUGUUGGAGCUAGGGUUAGGGUUGGGCUUGGAGCUAGGAUUUUUCUGAGUGCACUGAACCAACUCCCGAGUCUCUAGGACAUUCCUAAAAAAAUUUGAUUUUUUUCCCAUAGGAAUGCAUGGGUUAGGGUUAGGGUUAGGGUUGGAGCAAGGGUUAGGGUUAGGUUUAGGGUUGGAGUUAGGGUUAGUGUUGGAGCUAGGGUUAGGGUUGGUCUUGGAGCUAGGAUUUUUCUGAGUGCACUGAACCAACUCCCGAGUCUCUAGGACAUUCCUAAAAAAAUUUGAUUUUUUCCCAUAGGAAUGCAUGGGUUAGGGUUAGGGUUAGGGUUGGAGCUAGGGUUAGGGUUAGGGUUAGGGUUGGAGUUAGGGUUAGUGUUGGAGCUAGGGUUAGGGUUGGGCUUGGAGCUAGGAUUUUUCUGAGUGCACUGAACCAACUCCCGAGUCUCUAGGACAUUCCUAAAAAAAUUUGAUUUUUUCCCAUAGGAAUGCAUGGGUUAGGGUUAUGGUUAGGGUUAGGGUUGGAGCUAGGGUUAGGGUUAGGGUUAGGGUUGGAGUUAGGGUUAGUGUUGGAGCUAGGGUUAGGGUUGGGCUUGGAGCUAGGAUUUUUCUGAGUGCACUGAACCAACUCCCGAGUCUCUAGGACGUUCCUAAAAAAAUUUGAUUUUUUCCCAUAGGAAUGCAUGGGUUAGGGUUAGGGUUGGAGCUAGGGUUAGGGUUAGGGUUAGGGUUGGAGUUAGGGUUAGUGUUGGAGCUAGGGUUAGGGUUGGGCUUGGAGCUAGGAUUUUUCUGAGUGCACUGAACCAACUCCCGAGUCUCUAGGACAUUCCUAAAAAAAUUUGAUUUUUUCCCAUAGGAAUGCAUGGGUUAGGGUUAGGGUUAGGGUUGGAGCUAGGGUUAGGGUUAGGGUUAGGGUUGGAGUUAGGGUUAGUGUUGGAGCUAGGGUUAGGGUUGGGCUUGGAGCUAGGAUUUUUCUGAGUGCACUGAACCAACUCCCGAGUCUCUAGGACAUUCCUAAAAAAAUUUGAUUUUUUCCCAUAGGAAUGCAUGGGUUAGGGUUAUGGUUAGGGUUAGGGUUGGAGCUAGGGUUAGGGUUAGGGUUAGGGUUGGAGUUAGGGUUAGUGUUGGAGCUAGGGUUAGGGUUGGGCUUGGAGCUAGGAUUUUUCUGAGUGCACUGAACCAACUCCCGAGUCUCUAGGACAUUCCUAAAAAAAUUUGAUUUUUUCCCAUAGGAAUGCAUGGGUUAGGGUUAGGGUUAGGGUUAGGGUUGGAGCUAGGGUUAGGGUUAGGGUUAGGGUUGGAGUUAGGGUUAGUGUUGGAGCUAGGGUUAGGGUUGGGCUUGGAGCUAGGAUUUUUCUGAGUGCACUGAACCAACUCCCGAGUCUCUAGGACAUUCCUAAAAAAAUUUGAUUUUUUCCCAUAGGAAUGCAUGGGUAAGGGUUAUGGUUAGGGUUAGGGUUGGAGCUAGGGUUAGGGUUAGGGUUAGGGUUGGAGUUAGGGUUAGUGUUGGAGCUAGGGUUAGGGUUGGGCUUGGAGCUAGGAUUUUUCUGAGUGCACUGAACCAACUCCCGAGUCUCUAGGACAUUCCUAAAAAAAUUUGAUUUUUUCGCAUAGGAAUGCAUGGGUUAGGGUUAUGGUUAGGGUUAGGGUUGGAGCUAGGGUUAGGGUUAGGGUUGGAGUUAGGGUUAGUGUUGGAGCUAGGGUUAGGGUUGGGCUUGGAGCUAGGAUUUUUCUGAGUGCACUGAACCAACUCCCGAGUCUCUAGGACAUUCCUAAAAAAAUUUGAUUUUUUCCCAUAGGAAUGCAUGGGUUAGGGUUAUGGUUAGGGUUAGGGUUGGAGCUAGGGUUAGGGUUAGGGUUAGGGUUGGAGUUAGGGUUAGUGUUGGAGCUAGGGUUAGGGUUGGGCUUGGAGCUAGGAUUUUUCUGAGUGCACUGAACCAACUCCCGAGUCUCUAGGACAUUCCUAAAAAAAUUUGAUUUUUUCCCAUAGGAAUGCAUGGGUUAGGGUUAUGGUUAGGGUUAGGGUUGGAGCUAGGGUUAGGGUUAGGGUUAGGGUUGGAGUUAGGGUUAGUGUUGGAGCUAGGGUUAGGGUUGGGCUUGGAGCUAGGAUUUUUCUGAGUGCACUGAACCAACUCCCGAGUCUCUAGGACAUUCCUAAAAAAAUUUGAUUUUUUCCCAUAGGAAUGCAUGGGUUAGGGUUAUGGUUAGGGUUAGGGUUGGAGCUAGGGUUAGGGUUAGGGUUAGGGUUGGAGUUAGGGUUAGUGUUGGAGCUAGGGUUAGGGUUGGGCUUGGAGCUAGGAUUUUUCUGAGUGCACUGAACCAACUCCCGAGUCUCUAGGACGUUCCUAAAAAAAUUUGAUUUUUUCCCAUAGGAAUGCAUGGGUUAGGGUUAGGGUUAGGGUUGGAGCUAGGGUUAGGGUUAGGGUUAGGGUUGGAGUUAGGGUUAGUGUUGGAGCUAGGGUUAGGGUUGGGCUUGGAGCUAGGAUUUUUCUGAGUGCACUGAACCAACUCCCGAGUCUCUAGGACAUUCCUAAAAAAAUUUGAUUUUUUCCCAUAGGAAUGCAUGGGUUAGGGUUAGGGUUAGGGUUGGAGCUAGGGUUAGGGUUAGGGUUAGGGUUAGGGUUGGAGUUAGGGUUAGUGUUGGAGCUAGGGUUAGGGUUGGGCUUGGAGCUAGGAUUUUUCUGAGUGCACUGAACCAACUCCUGAGUCUCUAGGACAUUCCUAAAAAAAUUUGAUUUUUUCCCAUAGGAAUGCAUGGGUUAGGGUUAGGGUUAGGGUUGGAGCUAGGGUUAGGGUUAGGGUUAGGGUUGGAGUUAGGGUUAGUGUUGGAGCUAGGGUUAGGGUUGGGCUUGGAGCUAGGAUUUUUCUGAGUGCACUGAACCAACUCCCGAGUCUCUAGGACGUUCCUAAAAAAAUUUGAUUUUUUCCCAUAGGAAUGCAUGGGUUAGGGUUAGGGUUAGGGUUGGAGCUAGGGUUAGGGUUAGGGUUAGGGUUGGAGUUAGGGUUAGUGUUGGAGCUAGGGUUAGGGUUGGGCUUGGAGCUAGGAUUUUUCUGAGUGCACUGAACCAACUCCCGAGUCUCUAGGACAUUCCUAAAAAAAUUUGAUUUUUUCCCAUAGGAAUGCAUGGGUUAGGGUUAGGGUUAGGGUUGGAGCUAGGGUUAGGGUUAGGGUUAGGGUUGGAGUUAGGGUUAGUGUUGGAGCUAGGGUUAGGGUUGGGCUUGGAGCUAGGAUUUUUCUGAGUGCACUGAACCAACUCCCGAGUCUCUAGGACGUUCCUAAAAAAAUUUGAUUUUUUCCCAUAGGAAUGCAUGGGUUAGGGUUAGGGUUAGGGUUGGAGCUAGGGUUAGGGUUAGGGUUAGGGUUGGAGUUAGGGUUAGUGUUGGAGCUAGGGUUAGGGUUGGGCUUGGAGCUAGGAUUUUUCUGAGUGCACUGAACCAACUCCCGAGUCUCUAGGACAUUCCUAAAAAAAUUUGAUUUUUUUCCCAUAGGAAUGCAUGGGUUAGGGUUAGGGUUAGGGUUGGAGCAAGGGUUAGGGUUAGGUUUAGGGUUGGAGUUAGGGUUAGUGUUGGAGCUAGGGUUAGGGUUGGUCUUGGAGCUAGGAUUUUUCUGAGUGCACUGAACCAACUCCCGAGUCUCUAGGACAUUCCUAAAAAAAUUUGAUUUUUUCCCAUAGGAAUGCAUGGGUUAGGGUUAGGGUUAGGGUUGGAGCUAGGGUUAGGGUUAGGGUUAGGGUUGGAGUUAGGGUUAGUGUUGGAGCUAGGGUUAGGGUUGGGCUUGGAGCUAGGAUUUUUCUGAGUGCACUGAACCAACUCCCGAGUCUCUAGGACAUUCCUAAAAAAAUUUGAUUUUUUCCCAUAGGAAUGCAUGGGUUAGGGUUAUGGUUAGGGUUAGGGUUGGAGCUAGGGUUAGGGUUAGGGUUAGGGUUGGAGUUAGGGUUAGUGUUGGAGCUAGGGUUAGGGUUGGGCUUGGAGCUAGGAUUUUUCUGAGUGCACUGAAGCAACUCCCGAGUCUCUAGGACGUUCCUAAAAAAAUUUGAUUUUUUCCCAUAGGAAUGCAUGGGUUAGGGUUAGGGUUAGGGUUGGAGCUAGGGUUAGGGUUAGGGUUAGGGUUGGAGUUAGGGUUAGUGUUGGAGCUAGGGUUAGGGUUGGGCUUGGAGCUAGGAUUUUUCUGAGUGCACUGAACCAACUCCCGAGUCUCUAGGACAUUCCUAAAAAAAUUUGAUUUUUUCCCAUAGGAAUGCAUGGGUUAGGGUUAGGGUUAGGGUUGGAGCUAGGGUUAGGGUUAGGGUUAGGGUUGGAGUUAGGGUUAGUGUUGGAGCUAGGGUUAGGGUUGGGCUUGGAGCUAGGAUUUUUCUGAGUGCACUGAACCAACUCCCGAGUCUCUAGGACAUUCCUAAAAAAAUUUGAUUUUUUCCCAUAGGAAUGCAUGGGUUAGGGUUAUGGUUAGGGUUAGGGUUGGAGCUAGGGUUAGGGUUAGGGUUAGGGUUGGAGUUAGGGUUAGUGUUGGAGCUAGGGUUAGGGUUGGGCUUGGAGCUAGGAUUUUUCUGAGUGCACUGAACCAACUCCCAAGUCUCUAGGACAUUCCUAAAAAAAUUUGAUUUUUCCCCAUAGGAAUGCAUGGGUUAGGGUUAGGGUUAGGGUUGGAGCUAGGGUUAGGGUUAGGGUUAGGGUUGGAGUUAGGGUUAGUGUUGGAGCUAGGGUUAGGGUUGGGCUUGGAGCUAGGAUUUUUCUGAGUGCACUGAACCAACUCCCGAGUCUCUAGGACAUUCCUAAAAAAAUUUGAUUUUUUCCCAUAGGAAUGCAUGGGUUAGGGUUAUGGUUAGGGUUAGGGUUGGAGCUAGGGUUAGGGUUAGGGUUAGGGUUGGAGUUAGGGUUAGUGUUGGAGCUAGGGUUAGGGUUGGGCUUGGAGCUAGGAUUUUUCUGAGUGCACUGAACCAACUCCCGAGUCUCUAGGACAUUCCUAAAAAAAUUUGAUUUUUUCCCAUAGGAAUGCAUGGGUUAGGGUUAUGGUUAGGGUUAGGGUUGGAGCUAGGGUUAGGGUUAGGGUUAGGGUUGGAGUUAGGGUUAGUGUUGGAGCUAAGGUUAGGGUUGGGCUUGGAGCUAGGAUUUUUCUGAGUGCACUGAACCAACUCCCGAGUCUCUAGGACAUUCCUAAAAAAAAUUGAUUUUUUCCCAUAGGAAUGCAUGGGUUAGGGUUAUGGUUAGGGUUAGGGUUGGAGCUAGGGUUAGGGUUGGAGUUAGGGUUAGUGUUGGAGCUAGGGUUAGGGUUGGGCUUGGAGCUAGGAUUUUUCUGAGUGCACUGAACCAACUCCCGAGUCUCUAGGACAUUCCUAAAAAAAUUUGAUUUUUUCCCAUAGGAAUGCAUGGGUUAGGGUUAGGGUUAGGGUUAGGGUUGGAGCUAGGGUUAGGGUUAGGGUUAGGGUUGGAGUUAGGGUUAGUGUUGGAGCUAGGGUUAGGGUUGGGCUUGGAGCU
rnacentral:lncRNA from 1 species